GGAAUCUUCCACAAUGGGCGCAAGCCUGAUGGAGCAACACCGCGUGAGUGAAGAAGGGUUUCGGCUCGUAAAGCUCUGUUGUUAGAGAAGAAUGUGCGUGAGAGCAACUGUUCACGCACUGACGGUAUCUAACCAGAAAGUCACGGCUAACUACGUGCCAGCAGCCGCGGUAAUACGUAGGUGGCAAGCGUUAUCCGGAUUAAUUGGGCGUAAAGCGAGCGCAGGCGGUUUAAUAAGUCUGAAGUUAAAGGCAGUGGCUUAACCAUUGUUCGCUUUGGAAACUGUUAGACUUGAGUGCAGAAGGGGAGAGUGGAAUUCCAUGUGUAGCGGUGAAAUGCGUAGAUAUAUGGAGGAACACCGGUGGCGAAGGCGGCUGUCUGGUCUGUAACUGACGCUGAGGCUCGAAAGUAUGGGGAGCGAACA
rnacentral:rRNA from 1 species